AGGACGAACGCUGGCGGCGUGCUUAACACAUGCAAGUCGAGCGGUAAGGCUCCUUCGGGAGUACACGAGCGGCGAACGGGUGAGUAACACGUGAGCAAUCUGCCCUUCUCUUCGGAAUAACCAUUGGAAACGAUGGCUAAUGCCGAAUACGACCUCCUUUACGCUAUGAUCGGAGGUGGAAAGCUCCGGCGGAGAAGGAUGAGCUCGCGGCCUAUCAGCUAGUGGCGGGUAACGCCCACCAAGGCGACGACGGGUAGCCGGCCUGAGAGGGUCACCGGCCACGACUGGGACUGGACGACACGGCCCAGACCGUCCGUACGGGAGCAGCGAGUGGGAAUAGUGGACAAUGGGACAAAGCCUGACUCAGCAACGCGCGUGAGGAUGGACGGUCCGUUACGGGUUACGUAAACCGUCUUACGUAGACGAGGACGAAGACGAAGUGACGGUACUAGACGAGAACGAA
rnacentral:rRNA from 1 species